UCUGGGAGAAUGGGUGGUGAAAUGCAGUGU
rnacentral:piRNA from 1 species